AAGAAAGAUCCCUAGAUGAAAUCCACGAAGAUCCAGUACCCGCCGCUGUUUGUUUGGUGGCCCAUAUUUGGAGGAGUAAGAAAUAUAAACGAAGCACCGUUUUUUUCUCACUUUGGCGCUGAGAUUGAGAAAAGGGAACUCUCACGAAACUCAACUCUCUCUUUCUCUCUCUCUCUCUCUCCUUCACCCUCUUCUCUCUGCAGCCAAUCCCCAUUUCAGAUCGAGCCCUUCUUCUUCCUCCACCCUUUCCCAUUCGCUGUGGUGACUGCUCUCUCUUCUUCACCACCAAGAUUACUUGACUCACAUUUAGACUAUAGUGGUGGAUGCUGUGGUGUGUGGUUUUUCCUCAGACCUAUGACUAGUCCAUUUGGAGAAUUGACAAGCAAUAACAGUGCCGCUGGAAGGAUGAGUACUGAACAAUCUGAAUUGUCUGAAAAAACACAGUUAGGGACUGAGCAGUUACUAAAGGAACAACGGGAGUCUGGUACUGUUUUAACCAGUUCAGUUAUCGAUGAAAUAUCAAAUCAAGUUUUUGCUAAUGCGACAGAGAAUUCUGUUAUUUUACUGCCUGCACCACCUCAACAUGACUCAGAAAAGAAUUGUCAGAAUGUAGAAGGUUCACACCUGCAACAAAGUACCGAUAAAGAAGUCUCUUUACAGUUAUCUAACGACAAGCCAGAAAACCCAUCCCAACCAUUGUCUGAAAAUGAACCUGUGGAAUCCGUUUCUGCCUCUGCUGGGGAUGGCCAAAAGCAAUCUAGUCCAGCUCAAGCGAAUACAAGUUAUGUGAAUAAAUUGUUGGAUCCACCUAAUGAAGACGCUGUGACCAAUUUUUCAGAAAAAGUGUCUAAUAGCCCCGCUAAUUCGCAAUCGAGGCGCAAGGGUAAAAAAAACUCAAAAUUGUUGAAGAAGACAUAUAUGCUACGAUCAAUAGGAAGCAGUGACAGAGCUUUGCGGUCAAAAACAAAAGAAAAUCCCAAGACACCUGAACCAAGUAGUAAUUUGGUUGAUUUUAAUAAUAAUAAUAGCAAUGCUGGAGGGAAGAGGAAAACUAGUAGGAAGAAGAGAAAGAGUGGAGAGGUUGGAAUCACUGAUCAAUUCUCCAGAAUCAAAUCUCACUUAAGAUAUUUAUUAAACAGAAUAAGCUACGAGAAAAGCUUGAUUGAUGCUUAUUCUGGCGAAGGCUGGAAAGGAUACAGUAUGGAAAAAUUGAAGCCUGAGAAAGAACUUCAACGGGCCAAGUCUGAAAUUCUUCGACGCAAAUUGAACAUUAGGAAUCUAUUUCGAGAUUUGGAUUCAUUGUGUGCUGAAGGAAAGCUGCCAGAAUCUUUAUUUGAUUCUGAGGGAGAGAUUGACAGUGAGGAUAUAUUCUGUGCAAAAUGCCAUUCCAAAGAGUUGAGUUCUAAUAAUGAUAUAAUUCUCUGUGAUGGUGUCUGUGACCGCGGCUUUCACCAGCUCUGUUUGUUUCCUCCGUUGUUAACUGAAGACAUUCCACCUGAUGAUGAGGGUUGGUUAUGCCCUGGAUGUGAUUGCAAAGAUGACUGCAUGGACCUUAUUAAUGACUCCUUUGGAACAAGUCUCUCUAUUAGCGACACCUGGGAGAGCGUUUUUCCUGAAGCAGCAGCAGCUGCUGGGAAUAAUAUGGAUAACAACUUGGGACUCCCUUCUGAUGAUUCUGAUGAUGAUGAUUAUAACCCUAAUGGUCCAGAGGAUUUGAAAAUUGAAGGAGAUGAAUCAAGUUCUGAGGAAUCUGACUAUGCUUCUGCUUCUGAGAAUUUGGAGGGUUCACAUGGGGAUCAAUACUUGGGCCUUCCAUCUGAAGAUUCUGAUGAUGGUGAUUAUGAUCCUGAUGCUCCAGAUGUUGACAAUAAGGUCAAUGAAGAAAGUUCAAGCUCUGAUUUCACGUCUGACUCCGAGGAUCUUGCUGCUGCAAUUGUGGAUAAUGCAUCCCCUGGACAGGAUGAGGAAAUCAGAUCUGCAUCAUUGGAUGAUGUUAAGCACUUGAGAAGUUAUGGCAAAAAAAAGGGUAAAGCUGGUAAGAAGCUAUCUAUGGCUGAUGAACUGUCGUCUUUACUAGAGCCAGAUUCUGGUGGAGAAGGUUCUAUACAUGUUUCUGGGAAAAGGAAUUUGGAAAGGUUGGACUACAAAAAGUUGUAUGAUGAGACAUACCAUAGCGAUACUAGUGAAGAUGAAGAUUGGACAGCCACUGUUACUCCUAGCAGAAAGAAGAAAGGCAAUGCGACUCCUGUGUCUCCAAAUGGAAAUGCUUCAAAUAAUUCCAUGCACACUCCUAAGAGGAAUGGCCAUCAGAAUAAAUUUGAAAAUACAAAAAAUUCACCUGCCAAAUCACAUGGCGAUGUGAAAUUUGAUUCCAGGGAACAAACGUCUAGAUCUCCAGGAGGCCAUAGACUAGGAGAAGCAGUAGUUCAGAGACUUCACAUAUCUUUUAAAGAAAAUCAGUAUCCAGAUAGAGCUACUAAAGAAAACUUGGCACAGGAACUUGGACUUACUUAUCAGCAGGUUGGCAAAUGGUUUGACAAUACACGGUGGAGCUUCCGGCACUCAUCAAAAACCAAUUCAGGUAGAAAUACAUUACGGAAAGCUGCUGAUAGCAGAGCUGAAAAUGAAGGGGGUGAAUGUGAGUUAGUGUCCCCGGAGGUCAGCGGAGAAAAAGCAAAAGCCCCAAGCUCUGGAAAAAGAAAGCAUUUGUCAGAACACCAACUAUCUGAAGACAAAGCUCAUCAAACCCAAAGGGGGAAGAAAAUGAAGACAAGGAGAAGGAAAUGAUGCGUUAAUACGAACUCGGUUUUAACCUUCUUUAAGGCUUCAAAUUAAACUAUCCAUCUUUUUGUGAGAUCGUGAUCUCAUGAGAUGAUCAGCUCGGAUCUCGAUGGAUUUGUUUCCAUUCAGGCAGGGUUGACUUUUUUGGUAAUCCCAGUCUCCUAAGAUGUUUGUUUUGUUGUGUGUGGCGGGAUGGGGCAUCAUAUACUUCAAUUGCUGCAGGCUUCUUAUAAUGUUGAGAAGCUAUUUUUCAUGUCCAAAUGAAUGCCCUGGAACUGACACGCAUGUUGAUAAGCUAUCUGUUAUGUGUUAUUUGGUGGACUAUUGUGUAUAUGUGGGGAAUGCUAAGAGGAAUGGAAUUAAAAUUAGACAUUGAGGGACACGUGAUUGAUAAUUGUUUUAGGUAGUCAUUUGUAAGAACUGAAGUUGGGCUUGUGAUAUAUUGUAGUUGUGGAAACUGGGAUUGAGCCAACAUCAAAGGGUCAUGAUGUUGGCAAGAGUUGAACUUGGCUAAUCCAGAUGUGUCAUGCCUUCAACUACUGCAACUUCUUUAUGGGUUCAACUGUAAACUUAUAUUGGGUAUGGAUAUUUAAAAAUUUAGUUAAAAAGUUUCAUUUUUUUUUGUAUCCAAUCUUUUUCAAGAUUGUCCUUAAAUAUUAUUUUUGCCAAA